rnacentral:snRNA from 1 species
GGAUGUGAGGGUGAUCUGGCUGUGACAUCUGUCACCCCAUUGAUGGCCAGAAUUAAUUCAGCUGAUCAGGCUGGCUAUGCGGGUGUCCUCUUUCUCCCUCAUUGUUCCAUGUGCGUCCCUCCCGAAGCUGUGCGCUCAGUGGAAGAAGAUGACCAUCCCUGAUAGAGGAGGACCAAUCUUAGGUCAAGGGCAUAGGAGUAGCCACGCUCGCCUGCUAGAGCCUCCAAACAAGCUCUCAAAACUACUUUUGAAUGCACAUCCACAGAACUGAAGCUGCUAGAGAUGUAGAUGCUUUGGAGAAAAAUCCAAGUAUGGAGACGGCAUCCAAG